rnacentral:rRNA from 1 species
GGAGGCACUGCCUGCCCAGUGACAAACGUUAAACGGCCGCGGUAUCCUGACCGUGCAAAGGUAGCAUAAUCAUUUGUUCUCUAAAUAAGGACUUGUAUGAAUGGCCACACGAGGGUUUUACUGUCUCUUACUUCCAAUCAGUGAAAUCGACCUUCCCGUGAAGAGGCGGGAAUAAAUAAAUAAGACGAGAAGACCCUAUGGAGCUUUAACUAAUUAGUCCAGAGAAAAUUAAACUCUAACCACCAAGGGACAGCAACAUCCUCCAUGGACUAACAGCUUUGGUUGGGGUGACCUCGGAGAAUAAAAAAUCCUCCGAGCGAUUUUAAAGACUAGACUGACAAGUCAAAUCAAAUUAUCGCUUAUUGAUCCAAAAACUUGAUCAACGGAACAAGUUACCCUAGGGAUAACAGCGCAAUCCUAUUCAAGAGUCCAUAUCGACAAUAGGGUUUACGACCUCGAUGUUGGAUCAGGACACCCCGAUGGUGCAACCGCUAUCAAA